CGGCGAGUCGCAUGCGAUCGAGAAAGACCUCGACCGCGUUGGCGGCGCGCGCGCGCACCUGCUCCUCGUAGGCCUUGACCGCGGCGGCGUAGCGUGCAUUCUGGCACAGGAUGAUGGUCGCGUGCCAUGUCGUCCGCUGUUCCGUGCUGCGCGCGACCGCGGGCAACGGCCCGUCCCUGGCGCCGGACGCGCGAGCGGUAUGAGGACGCACGAGGCGGCGCGCGUUGACGCCCGCUUCGGGGCGCGCCCACGCGCACAGAUACCGCGCGUGGUUGCCCAUCACCCAGCGCCGUCCGACGAUGGCGUCGAGUACCGGGUCGGCGUCAAAGGUGCACCAGCGCGUCGAGCGACGGAACCAGCGAUCCAGCAGUUCCUGAUCCCACAGGCCGUAGACGACGUCGCGCGGGUCGACGGCGCCGCUCUUGGUGUCCGAGUAAAAGGCCAUGGCCAACUCGUCGGCCGUGGGCGUCACGGGCACGUCCGGCGCCGGCAUGUCGAUACGCACGCGACGACCGUCGCUGCCCACGACAGAGUGGGACCGCUUGGUAUAGGCACUAUGAGCCUCUUUGGUAUAGGCACGCUUCCAGUACCUGCGACACCACUUAUCGUCCUUGUGGGUGCCCGUUGCCGGCAUGCGAUUCCAUGCGUCGCUCGCGCUCACCGAAUGGUGGCAUCCGUUUUCAUCGUUGUGGAGGUCGUACCACGUCGCAAACAUGUGCAUGGGCGAUGCAUAGUCGGGCGCCGGCGGUGCGUCGGCGGGCGAGGGCG
rnacentral:lncRNA from 1 species